CCUGAUCCAGCAAUGCCGCGUGAGUGAUGAAGGCCUUCGGGUUGUAAAGCUCUUUCGCACGCGACGAUGAUGACGGUAGCGUGAGAAGAAGCCCCGGCUAACUUCGUGCCAGCAGCCGCGGUAAUACGAAGGGGGCUAGCGUUAGUUCGGAAUUACUGGGCGUAAAGGGCGCGUAGGCGGUGUGUCAAGUCAGGCGUGAAAGCCCCGGGCUCAACCUGGGAACCGCGCUUGAGACUGGCACGCUAGAGUUCGGGAGAGGAUGGUGGAAUUCCCAGUGUAGAGGUGAAAUUCGUAGAUAUUGGGAAGAACACCGAUGGCGAAGGCGGCAUCCUGGACCAACACUGACGCUGAGGCGCGAAAGCUAGGGGAGCAAACGGGAUUAGAUACCCCGGUAGUCCUAGCCCUAAACGAUGAAUGCUUGGUGUGGCGGGUAUCGAUCCCUGCCGUGCCGAAGCUAACGCAUUAAGCAUUCCGCCUGGGGAGUACGGUCGCAAGGCUG
rnacentral:rRNA from 1 species